rnacentral:tRNA from 1 species
GGUCUCGUGGCGGAAUUAGGUAUACGCGGCGGUUUCAGAAGCCGUUGUCCGUAAAGGGCGUGGGAGUUCGAAUCUCCCCGAGACUA